rnacentral:lncRNA from 10 species
CUGGGACCUGCCCCACCUGCUCAGGCCCACCCAGCCUCCCCAUCACCGUCACCUGGGACCUGCCCCACCUGCUCAGGCCCACCCAGCCUCCCCAUCACCGUCACCUGGGACCUGCCCCACCUGCUCAGGCCCACCCAAACCUGCCGAGCUGGAGGCCGCCUGUUAACCGGACUCUCCGGUGAGCGCUGGCAGCUGAGACGCUCUGGCCAGCACCAUGUUUGGUGGCUACCCCUGUAUUGGGGGAUGAUUCCCUGGAAAGUUCCUGAAGAGUCUUCAGUCCUUUGCAGAGUAAAACAAACGGGAAUGUGGUCACCAAGGGCUUACCAACUCUUCUGUUUUCCAUAGAGACAAAAUGGAAAAUGAUCUCAAACACAGAAAUGGAUCCAUUAAAAUAAUUAGGACAUUUCUGAUGUAACAACAGAAACAGUGCCCAUAGCAGGUGGGCGCUCCCACCUCUUAGACAUCAAUCACCGUAACGAGCAGAGGCGCGAACCGGAGGUGCCAUCUCUGAUAGGGAAGAGGGGGCUGUGUUCCUGGCUGGCUGGGCUGGGCGUCCAGGCCCAGCGUCCACCGAGUGCCCUAUGGUGACAUGGGCCUCACUCCUGCUGCUGCCUGGCCUUUCCUCCAGGACAUCUGCUCUGGCACCCAUCUUCGGAAACUCAUCUUCGGGAGAGGAUGCAAUGCCUAUACCCCAGAGGAUGCAUGAGGACCCUCAGAGCUCCCGGUAUGACACAGGACCACGUGCCUUCAUGGACCAUGGACAGAACAUUUAUCUGUGACCCUCCUCCUGCAAGCCCGGAAGCCCACGUGACGGGCGUGCAUCUGUGGAGUGGGUCCGCUCCCACUGUGUUUGACAGGCCGAUAAACGGACCACAGCCGUGGGCAGCACCACGCCGCCUUCUGAGAGGAGAACACAGCUCUCCCCACCGUUCCAGCCACAGUGGGUUUGGAAGGACAGGGCCUUCCUCGCCUGCCCAUAACCUUCAGGGAGAGAGAAGUGAAGAAUGA